GAAAGACAUCAUGCUGAAUAG
rnacentral:piRNA from 1 species